GUAUUAUUGCGUUAGACGCGGUGUUACAUUCUGAUACAUAUCGUGUGUGUAGAGACGUAGGCCGAAGCCCACAGAUAGUGCACAGGUGUAGAGUGGAUGAGUGAGGCGAGCACAUACUCCGGAGAGUCAGCUGCAAACCCCUUUCAAACUCGAUAAUGAUCCUUCCGCAGGUUCACCUACGGAAA
rnacentral:misc_RNA from 1 species